AGCUUUCUAAAUCCUUGCUAAGAUUUCAUCAGACACUAACCCACCAGGGCUGAUGAGACUUCAAGAUAAGUAAAGUA
rfam:Schistosoma rodhaini strain Burundi genome assembly, scaffold: SROB_scaffold0019415